UACGUAGGUGGCAAGCGUUGUCCGGAUUUACUGGGCGUAAAGAGCUCGUAGGCGGUUUGUCGCGUCGAAUGUGAAAACCCGGGGCUCAACCCCGGGCCUGCAUUCGAUACGGGCAGACUAGAGUUCGGUAGGGGAGUCUGGAAUUCCUGGUGUAGCGGUGAAAUGCGCAGAUAUCAGGAGGAACACCAGUGGCGAAGGCGACUCUCUGGACCGUAACUGACGCUGAGGCAUGAAAGCGUGGGGAGCAAACAGG
rnacentral:rRNA from 1 species